GCCAUGCCAUAAACUAAGAUAGAAAAAUACAAUCUAUUCCGCCAAAGAACUACGAGCAAAAUGCUUAAAACUUAAAGGACUUGGCGGCAUUUCACAUCAAUCUAGAGGAGCCCGUCCUAUAAUCGAUACUACACGUUUAACCAAACCACUCUUGGUCCCUCCAGCCUAUAUACCGCCGUCGCCAGCUAACCUUGUGAAAGACAAAAAGUUAGCAAAACAGCCAUCACUAAAACGUCAGGUCAAGGUGUAGCUUAUAGAGUGGAUGAGAUAGGCUACAUUUUUUACUAUAAAAAAUAACGAACGGUAUAAUGAAAUCUUGUACCCAAAGGUGAAUUUAGCAGUAAAAUUAGAAAGAAUUCUAAUUUUAACAUUGCCC
rnacentral:rRNA from 1 species